rnacentral:lncRNA from 1 species
UUAUGCAGAAGGUCAGCUACGGAACAAAUAUGAAUCUUCAGUUCAGUCAAGAACUUUACCAAAACCUACCCCAAAAUACUGUCAACCUGUUGUGGUGACAUCAAGUGAUGAUGCUGUGGAAGAUAAUGCUACUAUGGUUUGUAACUAUACAUCAGAUACAAUGUCAUCUAAGAGAAGUGGUAGACAAGGAGACUUGAAGCAUUAUGAAGAAAUACCAGGAGUAUCAGAUCAAAAUAUAUA